ensembl:snRNA U6 U6 spliceosomal RNA
GUGCUCACUUUGGCAGCACAUAUACUAAAAUUGGAACUAUACAGAGAAGAUUGUCAGGGCAUGAAUGACACAUAGAUUCAUAAAGGGAAGUCCUCCAUAUUUUU